rnacentral:rRNA from 1 species
UGCAGCCGAGCGGUAUUUGUCUUUCGGGACAGAGAGAGCGGCGUACGGGUGCGGAACACGUGUGCAACCUACCUUUAUCAGGGGGAUAGCCUUUCGAAAGGAAGAUUAAUACCCCAUAAUAUAUUGAUUGGCAUCAGUUAAUAUUGAAAACUCCGGUGGAUAGAGAUGGGCACGCGCAAGAUUAGAUAGUUGGUAGGGUAACGGCCUACCAAGUCAGUGAUCUUUAGGGGGCCUGAGAGGGUGAUCCCCCACACUGGUACUGAGACACGGACCAGACUCCUACGGGAGGCAGCAGUGAGGAAUAUUGGACAAUGGGUGAGAGCCUGAUCCAGCCAUCCCGCGUGAAGGACGACGGCCCUAUGGGUUGUAAACUUCUUUUGUAUAGGGAUAAACCUUUCCACGUGUGGAAAGCUGAAGGUACUAUACGAAUAAGCACCGGCUAACUCCGUGCCAGCAGCCGCGGUAAUACGGAGGGUGCAAGCGUUAUCCGGAUUUAUUGGGUUUAAAGGGUCCGUAGGCGGAUCUGUAAGUCAGUGGUGAAAUCUCAUAGCUUAACUAUGAAACUGCCAUUGAUACUGCAGGUCUUGAGUAAAGUAGAAGUGGCUGGAAUAAGUAGUGUAGCGGUGAAAUGCAUAGAUAUUACUUAGAACACCAAUUGCGAAGGCAGGUCACUAUGUUUUAACUGACGCUGAUGGACGAAAGCGUGGGGAGCGAACAGGAUUAGAUACCCUGGUAGUCCACGCCGUAAACGAUGCUAACUCGUUUUUGGGCUUUAGGGUUCAGAGACUAAGCGAAAGUGAUAAGUUAGCCACCUGGGGAGUACGUUCGCAAGAAUGAAACUCAAAGGAAUUGACGGGGGCCCGCACAAGCGGUGGAUUAUGUGGUUUAAUUCGAUGAUACGCGAGGAACCUUACCAAGGCUUAAAUGGGAAUUGACAGGUUUAGAAAUAGACUUUUCUUCGGACAAUUUUCAAGGUGCUGCAUGGUUGUCGUCAGCUCGUGCCGUGAGGUGUUAGGUUAAGUCCUGCAACGAGCGCAACCCCUGUCACUAGUUGCCAUCAUUCAGUUGGGGACUCUAGUGAGACUGCCUACGCAAGUAGAGAGGAAGGUGGGGAUGACGUCAAAUCAUCACGGCCCUUACGCCUUGGGCCACACACGUAAUACAAUGGCCAGUACAGAGGGCAGCUACCAGGCGACUGGAUGCGAAUCUCGAAAGCUGGUCUCAGUUCGGAUUGGAGUCUGCAACUCGACUCUAUGAAGCUGGAAUCGCUAGUAAUCGCAUAUCAGCCAUGAUGCGGUGAAUACGUUCCCGGGCCUUGUACACACCGCCCGUCAAGCCAUGGAAGUUUGGGGUACCUGAAGUCGGUGACCGUAACAGGAGCUGC